GCCGGGCGUGGUGGCGCACGCCUUUAAUCCCAGCACUCGGGAGGCAGUGGCAGGAGGAUCUCUGUGAGUUCAAGGCCAGCCUGGUCUACAUAGUGAGUUCCAGGACAGCUGGGGCUACAGGGAGACCCUGUCUCAAAAAGACCCCCAAAAAUAAAUAAAUAAAUCUUUAUAUAUAUGUCCUUUUUGAGACAGGGUCUCCCUGUAGCCCCAGCUGUCCUGGAAUUCAUUAGGAAGACCAGACUGGCCUCAAGAACUCACAGAGAUCUUCCU
rnacentral:sRNA from 1 species